rnacentral:rRNA from 1 species
CCUACGGGAGGCAGCAGUGGGGAAUAUUGCACAAUGGGCGGAACCCUGAUGCAGCGACGCCGCGUGAGUGAAGAAGUAUUUCGGUAUGUAAAGCUCUAUCAGCAGGGAAGAAAAUGACGGUACCUGACUAAGAAGCACCGACUAACUACGGGCCAGCAGCCGCAGGAAUACGUAGGGGGCAAGCGUUAUCCGGAUUUACUGGGUGUUAAGGGAGCGUAGACGGCAGAGCAAGUCUGAAGUGAAAGCCCGGGGCCGAAAUGCGGGACUGCUUUUGAAACUGCCCGGCUAGAGUGCUGGAGAGGUAAGCGGAAUGCGGGGUGUAGCGGUGAAAUGCGUAGAUAUUAGGAGGAACACCAGUGGCGAAGGCGGCUUACUGGACAGUAACUGACGUUGAGGCUCGAAAGCGUGGGGAGCGAACAGGAUUAGAUACCCGAGUAGUC